rnacentral:rRNA from 1 species
UACGAAGGGGGCUAGCGUUGUUCGGAAUUACUGGGCGUAAAGCGCACGUAGGCGGACAUUUAAGUCAGGGGUGAAAUCCCGGAGCUCAACUCCGGAACUGCCUUUGAUACUGGGUGUCUUGAGUGUGGAAGAGGUGAGUGGAAUUCCGAGUGAGAGGUGAAAUUCGUAGAUAUUCGGAAGGAACACCAGUGGCGAAGGCGGCUCACUGGUCCAUUACUGACGCUGA